rnacentral:rRNA from 1 species
UGGGGAAUUUUGGACAAUGGACGCAAGUCUGAUCCAGCCAUGCCGCGUGCGGGAAGAAGGCCUUCGGGUUGUAAACCGCUUUUGUCAGGGAAGAAACGAGUUUCUCUAAUACAGAGACUUAAUGACGGUACCUGAAGAAUAAGCACCGGCUAACUACGUGCCAGCAGCCGCGGUAAUACGUAGGGUGCAAGCGUUAAUCGGAAUUACUGGGCGUAAAGCGUGCGCAGGCGGUUAUGCAAGACAGAGGUGAAAUCCCCGGGCUCAACCUGGGAACUGCCUUUGUGGCUGCAUAGCUAGAGUAAGGUAGAGGGGAAUGGAAUUCCGGGUGUAGCAGUGAAAUGCGUAGAUAUGCGGAGGAACACCGAAGGCGAAGGCAGCCUCCUGGGCCAGUGCUGACGCACAUGCACGAAGGCGUGGGGAGCAAACA